AGCAGCCGCGGUAAUUCCAGCUCCAAUAGCGUAUAUUAAAGUUGCUGCAGUUAAAAGCUCGUAGUUGAAUUUCGGGACUAAUAUGUCGGUCGUGCCUCGGUACGUACUGGUUUAUUGGUUUCUCCUUUCUGAAGAACCAUGAUGUCAUUUAUUUGGUGUCGUGGGGAAUCAGGACUGUUACUUUGAAAAAUUAGAGUGUUUAAAGCAGGCUCACGCUUGAAUACAUUAGCAUGGAAUAAUGAAAUAGGACGUUUGAUUCUAUUUUGUUGGUUUCUAGGAUCGACGUAAUGAUUAAUAGGGAUAGUUGGGGGCAUUAGUAUUCAAUUGUCAGAGGUGAAAUUCUUGGAUCUAUUGAAGACUAACUACUGCGAAAGCAUUUGCCAAGGAUGUUUUCAUUAAUCAAGAACGAAAGUUAGGGAUCGAAGACGAUCAGAUACCGUCGUAGUCUUAACCAUAAACUAUGCCGACUAGGGAUCGGAUGAUGUUAAUUUUUAAUGACUCAUUCGGCGCCUUAACC
rnacentral:misc_RNA from 1 species